AUUCUCUCUAUGAGCUUGGAUGUUACAAGGGUGGUCCAUUCUUUUAUUUAUUUUUUAUUUUUAAUUUAUUUUUAUUAUUUUUAUUUAUUUUUUUUUGGGACAGGGUCUUGCUCUGUUGCCCAGGCUGGAGUGCAGUGGCAUGAUCUUGGCUUACUGCAGCCUCAACCUCCUGAGCCCAGGCGAUCCUCCCACCUCAGCCUCCUGAGUAGCUAGGACCACAGGUGCACGCCACCACACCUGCUUAAGCUGAUCCAUUCUUGCUGUGCUGGGUCACCCCCAGGUGACACUCAAUGUCAAUAAGUCGUGUUUUAUUCCAACAACUACGCUUUGUUUUUCUGGAUUGCUACUACAGCAAAUCGUAGAUUCCAUUUCUUCAGCAUAUAAAUGUGUAACAAGAACAAGUAGCAUUCGGGCUCGGUGGCUCACACCUGUAAUCCCAGCACUUUGUGAGGCUGAGGCAGGCAGAUCACCUGAGGUCAGGAGUUCGAGACCAGCCUGACCAACAUGGAGAACCCCUGUUUCUACUUAAAAUACAAAAUUAGCUGGGUGUGGUGGCACACUUUGGGAGGCUGAGGCGGGUGGAUCACUGGAGUCCAGGAGCUCAAGACCAGCCUGGGCAACAUAGCAAGACUCCAUCUCUAAAAAAAAAAUUAAGAUUAACCAGGUGUGGUGGCACAUACCUGUAGUCCCAGCUACAUGGAGGCUGGGGUGAAAGGAUCGCCUGAGCCCAGGAGGUCAAGGCUGCAGUGAGUGCACAGCCUGGGCAACGGAAUGUGACCUUGUCUCAAAAAAAAAAAAAUCACUGCAUUAUUUUAAUAAAAACAUGUAUCUUAUUGGCUGGGUGCAGUGGCUCAUGCCUGUAAUCCCAGCACUUUGGGAGGCCGAGGUGGGAGGAUUGCUUGAGCUCAGGAAUUCAAGGCCAGCCUGGUUAAUAUAGUGAGACAUCUAUACUACAAUUCAAAACAACAAUAAAAAAAUUAGCUGGGCAUGGUGGCACACACCUAUAGUCUUAGCUACUCAGAGGGCUGAGGCGGAAGGAAUGCUUGAGCCCAGAAGGUCAAGGCUAAAGUGAGCCCUGAUGGUGCCAUUGCACUUCACAGAGUGAAGAGUGGGUGACAGAGUGAGACCCUGUCUCAAAAAAAAGAAAAAAAAAAAAAAGAUAGCUAGGAGACCAGCCCGGCCAACAACAUGGUGAAACCCUGUCUCUAGGAAAAUACAAAAAUUAGCCGGGCAUUGCGGCGGGUGCCUGUAAUCCCAGCUACUCCGGAGGCUGAGGCAGGAGAAUCGCUUGAACCGAGGAGAGGGAGGUUGUGGUGAGCCGAGAUUGUGCCAUUGCACUCCAGCCUGGGCAACAAAAGCAAAACUCCAAUCUUAAAAAAAAGAAAAAAGAUAGGUAGAUAGAUGUAUCUGCAAAUGAUUCCUAGGAGCAGCCCAGGCCUAGAGAGUGAAACCACUCAUAGUGACUCACAUCAACAGGCCCUUUUGUCAGCGGGCAUUUCCGUAAUUAGAACUUGUGACCAACACAUCCAACCACGAGGAUAUAUCACAAGUACUUGUCUCCAGCGCUGGUUUCUUAGCAAAAAAACAACUUGUUAAAUGUCAGGGCUUUGUGUUUUUGCCUUUGGGCUUUUGCCAUGCCUGGUUAUUGGGCACCUUCUGGUAAUAAACAGUUGAAAGGAGCUGUUCCCAUGUCUUAUUUAAUUCUCUCAUUAAGCCUGUGGGCCAGAGGUUCUUAUUGUUCAUACCCCUGGAUAAACACACUGAGUCCCAGGGAGGUAAAGUGCCUUGGCUGAGGGCCACCCAGGAGCUGGUGGUGCCUCAGCUGAACCCAAGUCCACAG
rnacentral:lncRNA from 10 species